rnacentral:rRNA from 1 species
GACGAACGCUGGCGGCGUGCCUAAUACAUGCAAGUCGAACGCAGUGGGGACGGGUGAGUAACACGUGGGUAACCUCCCAUCAGAGGGGAUAACACUUGGAAACAGGUGCUAAACCGAUACUGAUGGAUGGACCCGCGGUGCAUUAGCUAGUUGGUGAGGUAACGGCUCACCAAGGCCACGAUGCAUAGCCGGCCGUAGAGGGUGAUCGGCCACACUGGGCAUGAGACACGGCCCAGACUCCUACGGUGGGCAGCAGUGGGGAAUCUUCGGCAAUGGACGGAAGGCUGACCGAGCAACGCCGCGUGAGUGAAGAAGGUUUUCGGAUGGUAAAACUCUGUUGUUAGGGAGGCGGUAUCUAACCAGAAAGCCACGGCUAACUCCGUGCCAGCAGCAGCGGUAAUUC